rnacentral:lncRNA from 1 species
GCCGAAAUAAGCAGCAACAGAUAGAAGAAGGGUGUAAUCUUCGCAUCAUAUCACCAACGUGAGUCUCAUCUCGUCUCUCCAACGUCAUCACCUUCUGUCAGACAGGGGAUCAGGCUGACAGCCAGGUAUAGCCACCAGUGACGGAGACUCCUCCACCAACUCAGUUAGCACUAGUCAUGGCAAACCAUUUCAACCUGCUCUUCUAGUAGGUCCAAACUCUGUCAACCAUUAUCCAGGUGGUUCAAAUUGUUCCUAUGCCUCCACUGACGGCACCAUAGCCUGAUCAGGCUACUCCUGUACUCCCUUUAGCAGUGC